rnacentral:rRNA from 1 species
UGUCUUUUUGAGUUUAAUAUAAAGUCUAAUCUGCCCACUGAUUUUAAAAAAUUAAAUGGCUGCAGUAUAUUGACUGUACAAAGGUAGCAUAAUCAUUAGUCAUUUAAUUGGUGACUUGUAUGAAGGAUUGGAUGAGAUAUAAACUGUCUUUUAUUUAAUUAUAAAAUUUAAUUUUUUUAUUAAAAAGUUAAAAUAAGUUAAAAAGACGAGAAGACCCUAUAGAGUUUUAUAAAUAAUUAAGUUAAGAUUAUAUUUAAAGUUUAAGUUUAAAAUUUAAAUAUUUAUUUUGUUGGGGUGAUAGAAAAAUAUAAAAAACUUUUUUUACAUAAAAACAUUUAUAAGUGAUUAAAUGAUCCAAUUUUAUUGAUUAUAAGAAAAAAUUACCUUAGGGAUAACAGCGUAAUUUUUUUUUUUAGUUCAAAUAAGAAAAAGAGUUUGCGACCUCGAUGUUGGAUUAAGAUAAAAUUUAAAUGUAGAAG